AGAAGUCUGACGGAGCACGCCGCGUGAGUGAUGAAGGCUUUCGGGUCGUAAAACUUGUUGUUAGGGAAGAACAAGUGCUAGUUGAAUAAGCUGGCACCUUGAGGUACCUAACCAGAAAGCCACGGCUAACUACGUGCCAGCAGCCGCGGUAAUACGUAGGGGCAAGCGUUAUCGGAAUUACUGGGCGGGAGGGCGCGUAGGUGGUUCCUUAAUCGGAUGAAUCUCCCCGGUCUCCCGGGGGAUCUGCUUCCAAAUUGGAGAGCUAGAGUAUGGAGAGGGUGGUGAAUUUCCUGUGSGCUUUGUGUGCGUUUAU
rnacentral:rRNA from 1 species